rnacentral:rRNA from 1 species
CUACGGGAGGCUGCAGUCAAGAAUCUUCCACAAUGGGCGAAAGCCUGAUGGAGCGAUGCCGCGUGCAGGAAGAAGUCCUUCGGGAUGUAAACUGCUUUUAUAAGGGACGAAUUCGUGACGGUACCUUAUGAAUAAGAGGUUGCUAACUCUGUGCCAGCAGCAGCGGUAAUACAGAGACCUCAAGCGUUAUCCGGAAUUACUGGGCGUAAAGCGUCCGCAGGUGGUUUUCUAAGUCAAUGGUCAAAUCCUGGGGCUUAACUUCAGGACUGCUGUUGAUACUGGAAAACUUGAGGCUGGAAGAGGCAAGCGGAACUAUCGGUGUAGUCGUAAUAAGCGCUGAUAUCGAUAGGAACACCAAAGGCGAAGGCAGCUUGCUAGUACGUGCCUGACACUCAUGGACGAAAGCGUGGGUAGCGAAUCGGAUUAGAUACCCCUGUAGUC